UCCACCUCCCAUACACACACACACACACACACGUAGGUUUUCGCUCGGGUGGAAUUUGCUGGAGCCAAUACAUUUUUAGUAAAUUUAAGCAUACAGUAAAGGUUUACGGAUUACACACUCUAUGUCUUAUUAGUAGCGGCUGAAGACGUUGUUAUAAAUAGCAACACAGGAGCUCACACUACUUUAUAUACCACCGCCUGGACUUAGAGCAAAGGGUGUAGCAGAGACUGUGAGGUAAGAGCAGGGAGGAGUUCCCUGAGCUCAGGUUUCACUGUGGGAUCUCCUGAAUCCGUCUCACUCCUGACAGCUACCUCACCUGAGCACAUGCAAAACAACAGCAGGCUUUUCUUUAGUGCAUGUCGAAGCACACGCCAAACCUCAAUUGUGGCUCAACAGUUGGAAAACGAUGGCUCAGCGCUUAAGGAUCUGGGUUACUGAUCAGAAGGCAGGGGGUUCGAGCUGCCACUCUUGGGCCCUUGAGCGAGGCCCUUAACUCUUUCUAGUCCAGGAGUGCUGACCUUGCGUUUGUUCCAGCUCCACGAGUGCUGACCCAGCUUUCUCACAAGAAACUAAUUUCACUGUGCUGUCAUGUAUAUGUGACAAAUAAAGUCUUCUUCGAAUUACGUU